AAAUUGAAGAGUUUGAUCAUGGCUCAGAUUGAACGCUGGCGGCAGGCCUAACACAUGCAAGUCGAACGGUAACAGGAAGCAGCUUGCUGCUUCGCUGACGAGUGGCGGACGGGUGAGUAAUGUCUGGGAAACUGCCUGAUGGAGGGGGAUAACUACUGGAAACGGUAGCUAAUACCGCAUAACGUUGCAAGACCAAAGAGGGGGACCUUCGGGCCUC
rnacentral:rRNA from 1 species